UCCAUUCGUGAGCACGCGCCCUCCCACACCCUGACGGUCCCGACUUGCUCAUCGGUCGCUGCCGCCCGACCUCCCCACCUCCCCCUGUGCUGCCUCCUCCGCCUUCGCCCCCUGUCUCCGCCUGCUUCGCCGCCGCCCGACGUCCUGCUGGCCCCAUCCCCGCUUCCUCGACCGCCGUCCUUGCCUCGCCUCCCUCAGGAGUCCACACUUGGGUGAAUCUACAUGUAGCGGCCACAGGGGAUGUCAUAUCCGCCCGUCUCUAGCUGCGGAUGAGGGGGCGCUGCCUAGGGUGCCGCCUACCCCCUAGGCGAGGCGGUACCCUGCCGCCCAGCGCAUAAGCGCGUCUAGGCGAGCGCGAAAUAGCGCCUUUUGUAACACUACUAAUGUUCAGCAGCAGGAGGUCGUACAUGGGUGGUGAUCAUGGACCUGACCCGUUUAGUGUUUUCUACAUGCUUGGCGCCGUGUCACUGGGUAUUGCACUCCCGAACAGCAAGAUCUGGAAGCGUAUCAAGGGGGAGUAGGCGUGGGCUGUGCCUAUUCUGUUGAUGAUAAAUAUGGUUGUGUGUGGCAGCGGUCGCUUGCCUUGUCAAGUUAAGCACCGGCUGCUUUAACUUGUUUAUUUUGUAUGUGGCACACUGAAGAGUUGCCGUACUGUAUCAGCCUGAUGAUAAAAAUGGAUGCUUAAGGUAGCGGUCACUAUGCUGCCUAAUGCUCAAAGCCUGUUCUCUUGCCUUGUCAAGAUAA